GUGUCUAUUCACACGUGCAUAUAAUUGUUGCGACACCGGGAUUUCUGCUGUCUCCUGGAGGACUCACGCGAGUACCAAAGGAACACGCCGUUCCAUGUCCAGUUCUAUUCGACCUUUUGUGUCCCCCGGGCAUUCUGUACAGGGCGGAAGUGACCGACUAGACAUCCACCGUUGUUGCAGUAUGCUUCUGUCUUUCUACUGUAUGUAUUGACAUCUACGGCGAUGUGUUGGUUCGUGUUUUAAAAAAAGUUGGGUCAGGAGUCAGUGGCAUAUAAUGUCUCUCUUUUUGCGCGUCUUCCGGUCGUAAACGCCCGGAGACGCACGCCAUGCGUCCCCCCGAACGACAGAGGAAGUGGUUGUGUCUCUUACGGGUGCAUUUUUCCUUUUCUUGCUUGAGUCGUCGAUGGUGCAUGCGAUGGAAGUCUCGCUCUUUCUUAAACUGGUCAAAGUAUUCUCUGCCAUACGAAACAGCACGAGCAAGAAAGAAGCUUGGGAGCAGAGCGUGACUGAGAAAGAAAUGGAGUGGGAGAGGGCAAGAAGCUCCAGCAAUCGACGCUUUGCUGUCAAGCGCUCUACAGAACUCGAGCAGCUGGAGUGAAUCUUUCGUCUCGGAUGUUUGAGAGGAACGUUCUGGAGAACGAAGAGAAAUCCUGUGUUCGGAAGGUGCUGCUAUGGAGGGCGGCAGAUGAAUGGGCAGAAACUAAAAAAUUCUCCCUCCACAGCAAAUGACAACGCGAAGUCCAGUGCUCGGCAGGACUCAGAAAAUUCCUUACAAGGCCUUCGAUGCAAUCUCUCGCUGUCGGCGGAUUUCGUGCUCCAGAAGAACCACCUGCUCUUUCAAAUCUUGAUUUACCAGAAAGGCAUGUGGAACAGUCCACUGCUCCCUUUUCGCCACAGUCGCUGAGUCUCUGUCGCUCUUUUGGAGCUGAGCGUCAUACCUGAAGACAUUGGGUUGCUUUCAUAGUUCGUUUCUUCAUAGACGUCUUAAUGCACGUGCGCCGUAGAAAAGAGCGUCUCCUACUCGUGCCAAUAAUGUUUCACUAUUAGGACCAGGCUGAAAACGGUGACGCCAGAGUCAUAUGCGGGGAUCGGCCGCACUCCUACAGAACGCUCGACACUGAACCCACAGACUUGUUUGCCGUGGGUGAGCGACGUUGUUUCUGUGUCCUUUCCAAAUGCACGAGAUACUCUGGUCCUUCCAACAGGGUGAUAAAAGUGAUAAGUUCUCUACGGGGAAACGUGGCCAAACACGAGCAGGCGAAGCAGACAAAUUGGAUACUGCAAGGAAGUACUUAUUCAUAUAUAUGUAUAUGUUUCUACAUAUCCUAAUGUAGGGAGAGAGAACGAGCGAUACAGAGAGGCCGACGGGCAGGAUGAGACCCAGAACGAAAGCGGGGGAAAAGUGGAUAAAUGGAGAGAGUGGUGUAUCGAUCGCUUUUUGACUGGCGUGAUCGUCCUUCGUAUUCUUCGUGGACGAAUGCAGGCUCAAAGCACUUGUCCGCGUCUUGCCGAAGUUCAUAUCACUCUUCCAGCUGCUCAUAGUCGUCCAGCUCAUUGACAUCCUCGGAAGUCCGCUCCAUAGGUCCACGUGAACUCUCUUUUCUCUUUUCGGCAACAUCACUUGUCGCCCGGAGGGGGUUUGCCUCCGAGAGAGCAGCCUGCAGUUCUGCUUCCAACUCCGUCAGCUCCAGGUGUUCGUCGAGCGUCUCAUCUUCGUCGCUGAUGACGACGGCUGAACGAAAAAAGAACCAAGACAGCGCUGAAGGCGCGUCGGAGGACAAUGGCCGAAGAUGCCAUCGACUAACAGUGUCGCAUUUCAGGAGAAAAGGGGAUGGAUGUCGGGAACUACAGAGCUCCGCACGUUUGUUUCCUCAAAACAGCGACGCUUGUUCCCCUUUUGUUAACUUCACUCGUCGGCAGUUGGGGGAGUGUAAAGGUCGUGGACAGAACAGGCUGGCCAUUUUUCGUGGAUUGACGUUUAAAGAAUUUGUGACAACAUUUUAGACUUCCC
rnacentral:lncRNA from 1 species